rnacentral:hammerhead_ribozyme from 1 species
AUCCAGCUGCUGACGAGUCCCAAAUAGGACGAAAUGCGCAUCCUGGAU